UACGUAGGUGGCAAGCGUUGUCCGGAUUUAUUGGGUUUAAAGGGUGCGUAGGUGGUCAAUUAAGUCAGUGCUGAAAUAUCCCGGCUUAACCGGGAGGGUGGCAUUGAUACUGAUUGACUUGAGUAGAGUUGAGGUAGGCGGAAUUGACGGUGUAGCGGUGAAAUGCUUAGAUAUCGUCAAGAACACCGAUGGCGAAGGCAGCCCCCUGGGCUGACACUGACGCUCAGGCACGAAAGCGUGGGGAGCAAACAGG
rnacentral:rRNA from 1 species